rnacentral:misc_RNA from 1 species
CGCACCUUGCGCCUUUUGGUAUUCCGAAAGGCAUGCCUGUUUGAGUGUCAUGAAAUCUCAACCCCUCCAGGUUUCUGAUCUGGUGGUGGCUUGGACUUGGACGUGUGCCAGCCAAUGGCUCGUCUUAAAAGGAUUAGUGGAAUCUUGACAUCCACGGCAGACGUAAUAAGUUUCGUCUCGCCUCUUGUCGUAGGUCUGCUUACAACCUGCCAUCGCGCACUUUAUGACUCUGGCCUCAAAUCAGGUAGGGCUACCCGCUGAACUUAA